CUCCUACGGGGCGCAGCAGUGAGGAAUAUUGGUCAAUGGGCGGAAGCCUGAACCAGCCAAGUCGCGUGAGGGAAGAAGGCCCUGCGGGUCGCAGACCUCUUUGGACGGGGAGCAAGGCCGCCGACGUGUCGGCGGAAGGAGAGUACCCGUAGAACAAGCAUCGGCUAACUCCGUGCCAGCAGCCGCGGUAAUACGGAGGAUGCGAGCGUUAUCCGGAUUUAUUGGGUUUAGAGGGUGCGCAGGCGGCACGGCAAGCCGGCGGUCAAAACCCGGGGCUCAACCCCCCCCCUCCCGCGUA
rnacentral:rRNA from 1 species